rnacentral:rRNA from 1 species
UAUCCUACGGGAGGCAGCAGUGGGGAAUAUUGCACAAUGGGGGAAACCCUGAUGCAGCGACGCCGCGUGAGUGAAGAAGUAUUUCGGUAUGUAAAGCUCUGUCAGCAGGGAAGAAAAUGACGGUACCUGACUAAGAAGCCCCGGCUAACUACGGGCAAGCAGCAGCGGUAAGACGUAGGGGGCAAGCGUUAUCCGGAUUUACUGGGUGUAAAGGGAGAGUAGACGGAAGAGCAAGUCUGAAGUGAAAGCCCGCGGCCCAAC